CGCGUAGGCGGCGCGGAUAGUCGGCGGUGAAAGCCCGGAGCUCAACUCCGGGUCGGCCGUCGAUACUUCCGGGCUUGAGCACUGUAGAGGCAGAUGGAAUUCCGGGUGUAGCGGUGGAAUGCGUAGAGAUCCGGAAGAACACCGGUGGCGAAGGCGGUCUGCUGGGCAGUUGCUGACGCUGAUGCGCGACAGCGUGGGGAGCAAACAGGAUUAGAUACCCUGGUAGUCCACGCCGUAAACGAUGGGCACUAGGUGCUUGGGGGAGCGACCCUCUGAGUGCCGGCGCUAACGCAUUAAGUGCCCCGCCUGGGGAGUACGGCCGCAAGGCUGAA
rnacentral:rRNA from 1 species